rnacentral:rRNA from 1 species
AACGAACGCUGGCGGCAUGCUUAUCACAUGCAAGUCGAACGGGCGCCUUCGGGCGUUAGUGGCGCACGGGUGAGUAACGCGUGGGAACCUGUCAUGAAGUGGGGAACAACCACUGGAAACGGUGGCUAAUACCGCAUACGCCCUGAGGGGCAAAGGCUUCGGCCGCUUUGUGAGGGGCCCGCGUCCGAUUAGCUAGUUGGUGGGGUAACGGCCUACCAAGGCUACGAUCGGUAGCUGGUCUGAGAGGAUGAUCAGCCACACUGGGACUGAGACACGGCCCAGACUCCUACGGGAGGCAGCAGUGGGGAAUAUUGGACAAUGGGCGAAAGCCUGAUCCAGCAAUGCCGCGUGAGUGAAGAAGGCCUUAGGGUUGUAAAGGCUCUUUCGCCUGCGACGAUGAUGACGGUAG